AGCGAACGUUAGCGGCGCGCCUAACACAUGCAAGUCGCACGAGAAAGGGAGCAAUCCCCGGUACAGUGGCGCACGGGUGAGUAACACGUAGAUGACCUUCCCUGGAGUGGUGGAUAACCUGCCGAAAGGCGGGCUAAUACAGCAUGGGACCACAUGGUUUUGACCGAGUGGUGAAAGCGGGCCUCUGUUCACAAGCUCGCGCUCUGGGAUGGGUCUGCGUCCCAUCAGCUAGUUGGUGAGGUAAUGGCUCACCAAGGCAUCGACGGGUAGCUGGUCUGAGAGGAUGACCAGCCACACUGGAACUGAGACACGGUCCAGACUCCUACGGGAGGCAGCAGUGGGGAAUCUUGCGCAAUGGGCGAAAGCCUGACGCAGCGACGCGCGUGGGUGAUGAAGGCCUUCGGGUUGUAAGACC
rnacentral:rRNA from 1 species